UUGUAGUUAAACGCCCGUAGUAAACCAAAGGGUUAUAGUUAUUGAUCUGACCAGUACUGUUCGUAACGUCAGCCACGUAUUGUGGGUGAUAGGACGAAUAAGGACAGGUCCUCGGUCUCUAACGGAAGCUAAGGUUUCCUUAGCAUCCGCCAUGGGAUAGGUCAAUGAUUAUGGCUCGCUCCCUGCCAGUCCGUAAGGUCUGGUAGGGCCAUUUGGCACAACCGUAAACAAAUCAGAGUGCUCCAAGCAGGCAAUGUUAGGGGUAACCCAUUUGCUUGAAUGAUUUAGCAUGGAAUUGUCACGAAGCCGAUCGGAAACUUUGAGGGUUUACCUGAGAAGUGGAAGAUCCGGCGCUCGCAAUGAGACACUGGUAGAGGAUCCAAGUACUAUGGCGCGAGAGGUGAAAUUCAGUGACCGCCAUAUGACUAUCUAAUGCGAAAGCAGUUGUGAUCCAGAACGUGUCUGUCAAUCAGGGACGAAAGUUAAGGGAUCGAAGAUGAUUAGAUACCGUCGUAGUCUUAACCGUAAACGAUACCAACACGAGAUUGGUAGUGAGACUUUUAGAUCCUAUCAGAAUCCAAGGGAAACCGUUAAGUUUUUGGGUUCUGGGGGGAGUAAUGGUCGCAAGGCUGAAACUUAAAGGAAUUGACGGAAAGGCACCACCAGGAGUGGAGUA
rnacentral:rRNA from 1 species